rnacentral:rRNA from 1 species
GAUGAACGCUGGCGGCGUGCCUAAUACAUGCAAGUCGAGCGAACAGACGAGGAGCUUGCUCCUCUGACGUUAGCGGCGGACGGGUGAGUAACACGUGUAUAACCUACCUAUAAGACUGGGAUAACUUCGGGAAACCGGAGCUAAUACCGGAUAAUAUCUUGAACCGCAUGGUUCAAUAGUGAAAGACGGUUUUGCUGUCACUUAUAGAUGGAUCCCCGCCGCAUUAGCUAGUUGGUAAGGUAACGGCUUACCAAGGGAACGAUGCGUAGCCGACCUGAGAGGGGGAUCGGCCACCCGGGAACUGGAACACGGUCCAGACUCCUACGGGAGGCAGCAGUAGGGAAUCUUCCGCAAUGGGCGAAAGCUUGACGGAGCGACGCCGCGUGAGUGAUGGAGGUCUUCGGAUCGUAAAACUGUGUUAUUAGGGAAGAACAAAUGUGUAAGUAACUAUGCACGUCUUGACGGUACCUAAUCAGAAAGCCACGGCUAACUACGUG